UAGAGAUAGGUAAUAGUUAUGCCGGAUACAGGUGGUGCAUGGUUGUCGUCAGCUCGUGUCGUGAGAUGUUGGGUUAAGUCCCGCAACGAGCGCAACCCUUGUCUUCAGUUACCAGCAUUGAGUUGGGGACUCUGGAGAGACUGCCGGUGACAAACCGGAGGAAGGUGGGGAUGACGUCAAAUCAUCAUGCCCUUAUGACCUGGGCUACACACGUACUACAAUGGCGUAUACAACGGGAAGCGAAGUGGUGACACGGAGCAAAUCUCACAAAGUACGUCUCAGUUCAGAUUGAAGUCUGCAACUCGACUUCAUGAAGUCGGAAUCGCUAGUAAUCGCGGAUCAGCAUGCCGCGGUGAAUACGUUCUCGGGCUUU
rnacentral:rRNA from 1 species